UUCUAACACUGGUUCUCUGCUGAUCACUGAAGUUAAGCAAUGUUGAACCUGGUGAGUACCUAUAUGGGUGACUGCUUGGGAAUACCAGGUGUUGUAAG